UAAUCAUUUGUUUUUUAAUUAAAAACUAGAAUGAAAGGUUAUACAUUCAAAUUUCUUUAUUAAUUUUUUAUAAAUAAUUUAUAUUAAAUAUAAAAAUAUAUUUUUAAAUAAAAAAGACGACAAGACCCUAUUAAAUUUAACUUAUAGUUUAGCUGGGGAAGCUUUUUAAAUAAAAUUUUUAUAUAAUUUUUAAAAAUAUAUUUAAUAAAAUUAAAAAUAAAAUAAAUUACUAUAGGGAUAACAGCGUUAUAUUUUUUAAAAGUUCUUAUUUAAAAAAAUGAUUGCGACCUCGAUGUUGAAUUAUAUUUUCUAUAUUAAUGCAAUAAUUAUAAAAGUAGAUCUGUUCGAUCUUUAAAAUAUUACAUGAUUUGAGUUCAAACCGGUGUAAACCAGGUUGGUUUCUAUCUUUUUAUAUAUAUAUAUAUUUUUUUAGUACGAAAGGAAAAAAAAAUUUUUAUUUUAAUUAUUUAGCAAAUUAAUAUGCAUUAGAUUUAGAAUCUAAAUAAAAUAUUAUUUUUUAAUUAAUUCUUUUAUAUCUAUUAUUAUACUUUUAAUUUCAGUUGCAUUUUAUACAAUUUUAGAACGAAAAAUUUUAAGAUAUAUUCAAAUUCGAAAAGGUCCAAAUAAAGUAGGUUUUAUAGGAAUUUUACAACCAUUUAGUGAUGCUAUUAAAUUAUUUAAUAAAAAUUUAAUUUCACUUGAAAGAAUAAAUUUUAUAUUAUCAUAUUCAACUCCAGCAUUAUCUUUAAUUUUAAUAAUAAUAAUUACCUCUAUAUUACCUAUAUAUAUUUAUUCUACAUUUGAUAAUAAAAAUAAUAUUUUAAUAUUUUUUGUAAUUUCAAGAUUAGCAGUUUAUUCUAUUU
rnacentral:rRNA from 1 species